rnacentral:rRNA from 1 species
AUGAGGUGGCUCAAGUCGUUGGUUGGGCUGAGGAAGGUGGAGAGGCAGCAGCAGCAGCAGCGCCGCAAGGAGGAUGGCGACGCCGGCCGAACAAAAAGGGAUGCCGUCGAUCAGUUCCACUUCCAGGACCAGCACUCCCAGGAUCACGCUAGCCUUGUCGGACCAGAAGAGUUCCCUGAUGGAAAUGUUCCAUCAGAAGACGAGUGCGGCACACCUUCAUGCUCAGGGCCUGGUUUCAGUACGCUUAGUGUGCCACUGCCUCAAACAGAAGAGGAGCUCAAAGAGAUCUGGGCUGCCACAAUUAUUCAGACUGCAUAUAGAGCCCUCCUGGCUAGGAGAGCCCGUCGAGCUUUAAAAGGACUGGUUAGGCUUCAGGCCCUUGUAAGGGGUCAUAUAGUGAGAAAACAAGCUGCUAUAACACUCCGGUGUAUGCAAGCUUUGGUCAGGGUACAAGCCCGUGUUAGAGCAAGGCGAGUUCGCGUGGCCUUGGAAAGUCAGAUGGAUGACCAACAAAAUAAUGAAGAAGAGCAAACAGACGAGGCACAUGUUCGAGAAAUUGAGGACGGGUGGUGCGAUAGUAUAGGGUCUGUGGAAGACAUCCAAGCAAAACUGUUGAAGAGGCAGGAAGCAGCAGCCAAGCGUGAGCGAGCCAUGGCCUAUGCCCUUUCUCACCAGUGGCAAGCAGGUUCAAGGCAACAGGCGGCCAUUACAGCUUCUGAACUAGACAGGAACAGCUGGAGCUGGAAUUGGCUGGAGAGAUGGAUGGCCGUCCGCCCGUGGGAGAGUCGGUUCCUGGGCAUGUACGCAGCAGAUGGAAUUGCCAUUGAUACCGGAGCGCAGCACGCUGAGGGAAAUGCAACCAAGGCCCCAUACAGGAAACCUGUGAAAAAGCAGGUUUCAGCUCCUCAUUCAAAUGUGUUGAUCCAGAAGGCCCGCCCCUCGAACUCAGAGGGUGGUGGCUCCUCGUUGAACCCGUCUGCCGGUUCGGCGUCAGCUAAACCGAAACGGAAGCUGCCACCGAAGGAAGGUUCUGAUGAAGUCUCGUCUCGUCUUUCGGGACUUGGUGCCCGGAGCAGUAGUAAUCCUAAGGAGAGGCCUGGGCAGUUACAACCUCGGGCCAACAAGAGGUUCUCCUUGCCUGGCACUGGCCCAGAAGCUGGCAAACGGCAAGUGAAUAAACCCGCGGUGAACCGAUCGCCCAAGGCUGCCGAAGACUCCCCAGCGCUGGAAGGGAAGCAUCGCCGUGCCGGUUCCGUUGAUCUGCUGCUCAAGAGAGUUGAGCUGCAGGCCUGA